AUUGAACGCUGGCGGCAGGCCUAACACAUGCAAGUCGAGCGAGCGGCGGACGGGUGAGGAAGGUCUGGGAAACGGCCUGAUGGCGGGGAAUAGCUACUGGAAACGGUAGCUAAUACCGCAUACUAUAAGAUCAUCCCAUAUGGGUUUACCUACUAGGUGGGGUAAUGGCUCACCUAGGCGACGAUCCCUAGCCGGUCGGAGAGGAGGACCGGCAAACUGGGAACGGAGACACGGUCCAGACUCCUACGGGAGGAAGCAGUGGGGAAUAUUGCACAAGGGGCGAAAGCCUGAUGCAGAAAUGCCGCGUGUGUAAAGAAGGCCUUCGGGUUUUAAAGCACUUUGAGCACGGAGGCGUUACUCGCAGAAGAAGCACCGGCUAACUCCGUGCCAGCAGCCGCGGUAAUUC
rnacentral:rRNA from 1 species